CACACCGCCCGUCACGGCAUGGGAGUUGGUUCUACCUUAAGACGGUGCGCUAACCCGCAAGGGAGGCAGCCGGCCAAGGUACAGCUCAUGAUUGGGGUG
rnacentral:rRNA from 1 species